rnacentral:rRNA from 1 species
AGUGAACGCUGGCGGUAGGCCUAACACAUGCAAGUCGAACGGCAGCACAGUAAGAGCUUGCUCUUACGGGUGGCGAGUGGCGGACGGGUGAGGAAUACAUCGGAAUCUACUUUUUCGAGGGGGAUAACGUAGGCAAACUUACGCUAAUACCGCAUACGACCUACGGGUGAAAGCUGGGGAUCUUCCGACCUUGCGCGAUUGAAUGAGCCGAUGUCGGAUUAGCUAGUUGGCGGGGUAAAGGCCCACCAAGGCGACGAUCCGUAGCUGGUCUGAGAGGAUGAUCAGCCACACUGGAACUGAGACACGGUCCAGACUCCUACGGGAGGCAGCAGUGGGGAAUAUUGGACAAUGGGCGCAAGCCUGAUCCAGCCAUACCGCGUGGGUGAAGAAGGCCUUCGGGUUGUAAAGCCCUUUUGUUGGGAAAGAAAAGCAGCAGGUUAAUACCCCGCUGUUCUGACGGUACCCAAAGAAUAAGCACCGGCUAACUUCGUG